AGAUGCCAGGAAAUAACACACAGGUGACGGCGAGGUGGGUUAAAGCCCAAACACAACAAGAGAUGCUCACGGAGGUGGCCGCUACCUGCACACACCUGAGACAGUCCAGCUACCUGUACCCCCACUCCCCCGCACUGGCUCCCAGUGUCUCUCUUCCACUUGUGUGGUGAGGAAGAGACCAUGUUCCACGUGUAUACGGAGCGUGAGAGACUGCUGCUUCUUGGCC